rnacentral:tRNA from 1 species
UGGGCAGUAUUUCAGUGGUAGAGCCCCCGCUUUGCGUGCGGGGAGACCCGGGUUCGAUUCCCGGCUGCUUUC